rnacentral:rRNA from 1 species
CCUACGGGAGGCUGCAGUGAGGAAUAUUGGGCAAUGCCCGCAAGGGUGACCCAGCAACGCCGCGUGGAGGAUGAAGGCCGUAAGGUUGUAAACUCCUGUUAGAGGAGAAGAAUAGUACCGAUUGGAUCGGUAUUUGACUGUACCCUCAGAGAAAGCCCCGGCUAACUACGUGCCAGCAGCCGCGGUAAUACGUAGGGGGCAAGCGUUGUCCGGAGUUACUGGCGCGCAGGCGCGAUCGGAAGUGAGAGGUGAAAGCCUACAGCUUAACUGUAGAACGGCCUUUGAUACUGUUAUUCUUGAGUUCGGGAGAGAGAGACGGAAUUCCAGGUGUAGUGGUGAAAUACGUAGAUAUCUGGAAGAACACCAGUUGCGAAGGCGGUCUCUUGGUCCGAUACUGACGCUGAGGCGCGAAAGCGUGGGGAGCAAACAGGAUUAGAUACCCUAGUAGUC